rnacentral:rRNA from 1 species
GACGAACGCUGGCGGCGUGCCUAAUACAUGCAAGUCGAACGCAGUGGGGACGGGUGAGUAACACGUGGGUAACCUCCCAUCAGAGGGGAUAACACUUGGCAACAGGUGCUAAACCGAUCCGGAUGGUUGGACCCGCGGUGCAUUGUCUAUUUGGUGAGGUAACGGCGCACCAAGGCCACGAUGCAUAGCAGACCUGAGAGGGUGAUGGGCCACACUGGAACUGAGAGACGGCACAGACUCCUCCGGGAGGCAGCAGUAGGGAAUCUUCGGCAAUGGACGAAAGUCUGACCGAGCAACGCCGCGUGAGUGAAGAAGGUUUUCGGAUCGUAAAACUCUGUUGUUAGAGAAGCGGUAUCUAACCAGAAAGCCACGGCUAACUACGUGCCAGCAGCCGCGGUAAUUC